UCAGGCUGCUCUCUGGGAUGGAUGAUGGUUCUGGCCUUGCUGAUUCAUCCAGCCCUGGCUGAGGAUCUUUCUGGAAGCAUCUCCCGUGCCCAGUGUCUGCUGAGAACUUGAAGAAAAUAUUGAACAGGACGAGAGGAAGGAUCACAGUGGAAUAUUCUGAACUUCCCAGCUGACACACGCUGUGAUGCUGAAUCCUCUAUUCCAACCACACACGUUUCACAUUUAUUUCAAAUGUGGUUUAAAACGGAGGAGGGGGAGAGGCCAUAAAUAUUCUCUCCCAGUGCUGUUUCCUGAGCCUGGGAAUACCCAAAGGAAUGGGACGGGCUCUGUGGGACAGA